AUACAUGGAACCGCGUUCAUUUGCUUUCGUUGUGCAUCUUAAAAGACUCAGGAAUGAGUGGAGUACUUGAAUAAAUUUCUGGAGUUAAUUAAGUAAACGUUGGGAUAUUUUGGCUCACACCAUGAAAAAUGGAUCUUUAGCUUUAUGCAGUACUUAAUAUGUUUUCAUAGUUUAAUUCUGUCAUGUAUUUGUAUAAGAUACUUUUAAUAUUGCAAAAUUAAUCGAAUCAAAUUAUGUGUCCUCUAGUGUUUAAAUUAACAUAUAGAAAGAUGUGGAAAAGUGAGAACAAGUUUGGUAUACUGAAUUUCAAACUGAUUUAUUCGUGUUUCA